rnacentral:rRNA from 1 species
GAGACAGCAGUAGCCGCGGUAACACGAAGGGGGCUAGCGUUGUUCGGGUUUACUGGGCGUAAAGCGCACGUAGGCGGACUUUUAAGUCAGGGGUGAAAUCCCGGGGCUCAACCCCGGAACUGCCUUUGAUACUGGAAGUCUUGAGUAUGGUAGAGGUCAGUGGAAUUCCGAGUGUAGAGGUGAAAUUCGUAGAUAUUCGGAAGAACACCAGUGGCGAAGGCGACUGACUGGACAAGUAUUGACGCUGAGGUGCGAAAGCGUGGGGAGCAAACAGGAUUAGAUACCCGGGUAGUCCCUGUCUCUUAUAC